rnacentral:rRNA from 1 species
GUGAACUUGAUAGUUUACUAUUUGUUUAGGUAAACUUGGUCUUGGUUUCCAUUUUUAGCUUUGGCAGUGUUGAAACACAUGGUAUUUUAGGAAUUCUAGUGAGUAGGGAACAAAAAUUAAAAUUGGAGUUAAAUACUUAAAGUUUAGUUUUGUUCUUAACAUAAUUUUUUAAAUAUUACGUUGAAUUUUAUUCACUUAAAUUUUACACCAGUGUUGGAGAUUGGACAAUGAAUUUUGGUUUGAUUCAGUAAGUAGCUAAAAUUAAAUCUGGUAAAGUUUGUGCCAGCCACCGCGGUUAGACAAACAGAUUAAGCUAAAAUUAGUACGGUAAAAAAGAAGGUUAAGGGAAUGUACUGGAAAAAAUGUUCCAGUACUAAAGAGAAAAAUUAUGUCUUUUGUGGAGGUGGAAUUUGUGCAAAAGAAGGUGAUUUGUUGUUUUCUUGUUCUUGAAGCCUUGAAAUCUCAUUAAGAGACCGGGAUUAGAUACCCCGUUAUUUGAGAUGUAAAAUUUGAUUGUUAUGCAAUUUACUUGAGUAUUACGAGUUGUGAAAAUAUUGAUUUACACAAGAAUCUUAAAACUCAAAAGACUUGGCGGUAUCUUAGGUCCUUCUAGGGGAACCUGUCCUGUAAUCGAUAGUCCACGAUUUAUCUUUCCUUUCCUUGAAAAUAUUCAGCUUGUAUACCGUCGUCGUCAGAUUACCUUUAAGAGUUAAAUAAGUUAUCAGGAAGAAUGUUACUAUUAAGCUUUUGCUUCAGCUUAAUUAGUUGGGUUUAAUGUAAGAGUAAUUUUCUAGAUGUCAGAUCAAGGUGCAGCCCAUGGAAAGGUAGAGAUGGGUUACAAUAAUUAUUUGUUAUUUACGGAUUUCUUAUUGAAAUUAUAAGAACUAAAGGCGGACUUAGAAGUAAUUAAUAAGAGAAAUAGAAAGUUUCGGUGAAAAUGGCACUAAGAUGUGCACACAUCGCCCGUCGCUCUCGUUGAAAAAUGAGAUAAGUCGUAACAUAGUUAGGGUACCGGAAGGUGCUCUUAGUGAAGUGUAGUAAUAACCAAUAGUUGAAAUAAAAAUAUUUAGAAAUAA